UACGGGGGGGGCAAGCGUUGUUCGGAAUUACUGGGCGUAAAGGGCUCGUAGGCGGCCUGCUAAGUCGAACGUGAAAUCCCUGGGCUCAACCCAGGAACUGCGUCCGAUACUGGUUGGCUUGAAUCCGGGAGAGGGACGUGGAAUUCCAGGUGUAGCGGUGAAAUGCGUAGAUAUCUGGAGGAACACCGGUGGCGAAGGCGACGUCCUGGACCGGCAUUGACGCUGAGGCGCGAAAGCCAGGGGAGCAAACGGG
rnacentral:rRNA from 1 species